UACGUAGGUGGCAAGCGUUAUCCGGAUUUACUGGGUGUAAAGGGCGUGUAGGCGGGAGAGCAAGUCAGACGUGAAAUUCCAGGGCUCAACCCUGGAACUGCGUUUGAAACCGUUCUUCUUGAGUGAUGGAGAGGCAGGCGGAAUUCCGUGUGUAGCGGUGAAAUGCGUAGAUAUACGGAGGAACACCAGUGGCGAAGGCGGCCUGCUGGACAUUAACUGACGCUGAGGCGCGAAAGCGUGGGGAGCAAACAGG
rnacentral:rRNA from 1 species